GUGCUUAACACAUGCAAGUCGAGUGCGCGCCUGUAGCAAUACAGGUGGCGCACGGCGCACGGGUGCGUAACACGUGGGUAAUCUGCCCUCUGAUGGGGAAUAACCCGCCGAAAGGCGGGCUAAUACCGCAUAACAUUCCUUGGACUUAUGUUCGAGGACUGAAAGGCGUAAGUCGUCGGAGGAGGAGCCCGCGCCCGAUUAGCUAGUUGGUAGGGUAACGGCCUACCAAGGCUUUGAUCGGUAGCUGGUCUGAGAGGAUGGCCAGCCACACUGGAACUGAGACACGGUCCAG
rnacentral:rRNA from 1 species